rnacentral:lncRNA from 1 species
CCAUAGUACUAUCUAUAAAGAUUCUGCUAUUUAGCUCCGUUAAUCCAUAUGAGUUUCGUAAAUAAGUGUGCUUAUUGGUGUGUUUACUUAUAUAUUAGCAUAUAUUAGUACUUGUGAUUUGUAUUUAAGUUUGUUUAAGCUUGAUUAGUAUAUAUAAAACUUAAACGGUGUGUAUUUCAAUUUUAUCAAACUUCAUGUAAGUAUGCUUUUGUAAAUAAAGCCCAUAUUCCUUUCAUUUUACUGUUGUUAAUUAGGUUUUAAGCUUUCUUUAUGUUUAAACUUGUUAUUGUUUAUUACUGUUCAUAGUACUAUAGCUGUACU